AUAAUUCCCCUGCCAAUGGUUUCAACUAUCAUUUUUAACAUUGGCGUGUCAUUGGAAAACGACCGCUUCAACAACUCACCGUAAGAUAGGAGAUUUAGAUUUG